rnacentral:rRNA from 1 species
GAUGAACGCUAGCGGCAGGCUUAAUACAUGCAAGUCGAGGGACAGCACAGGUAGCAAUACUGGGUGGUAACCGGCAAACGGGUGCGGAACACGUACACAACCUUCCUUUAAGUGGGGGAUAGCCCAGAGAAAUUUGGAUUAAUACCCCGUAAUAUAGUUGAAUGGCAUCAUUUGAUUAUUAUAGCUACGGCGCUUAAUGAUGGGUGUGCGGCUGAUUAGAUAGUUGGCGGGGUAACGGCCCACCAAGUCUACGAUCAGUAGCUGAUGUGAGAGCAUGAUCAGCCACACGGGCACUGAGACACGGGCCCGACUCCUACGGGAGGCAGCAGUAAGGAAUAUUGGUCAAUGGACGCAAGUCUGAACCAGCCAUGCCGCGUGAAGGAUUAAGGUCCUCUGGAUUGUAAACUUCUUUUAUUUGGGACGAAAAAGGGCCUUUCUAGGUCAACUGACGGUACCAGAUGAAUAAGCACCGGCUAACUCCGUGCCAGCCGCCGCCGUAACAC